rnacentral:rRNA from 1 species
CCUACGGGUGGCAGCAGUGGGGAAUAUUGCACAAUGGGCGAAAGCCUGAUGCAGCAACGCCGCGUGAGCGAUGAAGGCCUUCGGGUCGUAAAGCUCUGUCCUCAAGGAAGAUAAUGACGGUACUUGAGGAGGAAGCCCCGGCAAACUACGUGCCAGCAGCCGCGGUAAUACGUAGGGGGCUAGCGUUAUCCGGAAUUACUGGGCGAAAAGGGUGCGUAGGUGGUUUCUUAAGUCAGAGGUGAAAGGCUACGGCUCAACCGUAGUAAGCCUUUGAAACUGGGGAACUUGAGUGCAGGAGAGGCAGGCGGAAUUCCUGGUGUAGCGGUGAAAUGCGUAGAGAUCAGGAGGAACACCGGUGGCGAAGGCGGCCUGCUGGACUGCGACUGACGUUGAGGCCCGAAAGCGUGGGGAGCAAACAGGAUUAGAUACCCGUGUAGUC